rnacentral:antisense_RNA from 1 species
UGUUUUGGCAGGCCGGGCGGGCCAGCUUCGGCUGGACCGCUUCCAGUAGAGCGGUUGUGAUGACCCGUUUCGGCCUGCCCCCAAA